rnacentral:rRNA from 1 species
CCCCUAGAUGUUCUGGGCCGCACGCGCGCUACACUGAACAGUUCAACAAGUCUUAACCUUGGCCGAUAGGUCUGGGUAAUCUUUGAACGCUGUUCGUGAUUGGGAUAGACCUUUGCAAUUAUGGGUCUUCAACGAGGAAUUCCUAGUAAACGCAAGUCAUCAGCUUGCAUUGAUUACGUCCCUGCCCUUUGUACACACCGCCCGUCGCACCUACCGAUUGAAUGGUCCGGUGAAAUCUCGGGACGGCGGCUUGGUCGCUUGCGUCCGACUGCUGAAACUUGAUUAAACCAUNUNAUUUAGNGGAAGGUGAANUCGUANCA